rnacentral:rRNA from 1 species
GCAAGCGUUGUCCGGAAUCAUUGGGCGUAAAGCGCGUGUAGGCGGUCCGAUAAGUCGGCUGUGAAAGUCAAGGGCUCAACCCUUGAAUGCCGGCCGAUACUGUCGGGCUAGAGUCCGGAAGAGGUGAGUGGAAUUCCUGGUGUAGCGGUGAAAUGCGCAGAUAUCAGGAGGAACACCGGUGGCGAAGGCGACUCUUUGGUCUGUAACUGACGCUGAGGCGCGAAAGCGUGGGGAGCAAACAGG